rnacentral:rRNA from 1 species
UACGGAGGUGGCAAGCGUUGCUCGGAAUCACUGGGCGUAAAGGGCGCGUAGGCGGGGAGGUAAGUCGGGUGUGAAAUCCCUCGGCCCAACCGAGGAACUGCGCCCGAGACUGCUUCUCUUGAGUCCCGGAGAGGAAGGUGGAAUUCCCGGUGUAGCGGUGAAAUGCGCAGAUAUCAGGAGGAACACCAAUGGCGAAGGCAGCACUCUGGGACGUGACUGACACUGAGACGCGAAAGCGUGGGGAGCAAACAGG